rnacentral:rRNA from 1 species
UACGAAGGGGGCUAGCGUUGCUCGGAAUGACUGGGCGUAAAGGGCGCGUAGGCGGCUUGUACAGUCAGGCGUGAAAUUCCCGGGCUCAACCUGGGGGCUGCGCUUGAGACGUGCGAUCUUGAGUGGGGAAGAGGGUCGUGGAAUUCCCAGUGUAGAGGUGAAAUUCGUAGAUAUUGGGAAGAACACCGGUGGCGAAGGCGGCCCCCUGGACAAAGACUGACGCUCAGGUGCGAAAGCGUGGGGAGCAAACAGG